GAUGAAGAACGCAGCGAAAUGCGAUAAGUAGUGUGAAUUGCAGAAUUCCGUGAAUCAUCGAAUCUUUGAACGCACAUUGCGCCUUCUGGUAUUCCGGAAGGCAUGCCUGUUCGAGAGUCAUUAACAACCGUUUCGAUCCCUUUCUUUCAGAAAUUACAAAGAGGAAAAGGGUUUGGUUAUGGUGGAGGAGGGAAAGGGAGCGUUUAGCCUGUAAAAAAAGAGGCUGUGUUCCGCCUCCCCCCCAAAAUUGUACAGGCGGUCGUGUGCGCCCACGCAUCGAGGUGUUGUAAAAGCUGCCACGGCACUUUUCACCUGUGCAGUGCGAGAUUGGCCAGCCGGUUUAAAAACCCCUCCAAACAAUCAAAGGUUGACCUCGGAUCAGGUAGGGAUACCCGCUGAACUUAAGCAUAUCAAUAAGCGGAGGA
rnacentral:misc_RNA from 1 species